CCUACGGGUGGCAGCAGUGGGGAAUAUUGGGCAAUGGGCGCAAGCCUGACCCAGCAACGCCGCGUGAAGGAAGAAGGCUUUCGGGUUGUAAACUUCUUUUCUCAGGGACGAAGAAAGUGACGGUACCUGAGGAAUAAGCCACGGCUAACUACGUGCCAGCAGCCGCGGUAAUACGUAGGUGGCAAGCGUUAUCCGGAUUUAUUGGGGGUAAAGGGCGUGUAGGCGGGAGCGCAAGUCCGAUGUGAAAACUCAGGGCUCAAACCUGAGCCUGCAUUUGAAACUGUGGUUCUUGAGUGCUGGAGAGGCAAUCGGAAUGCCGGGUGUAGCGGUGAAAUGCGUAGAUAUACGGAAGAACACCAGUGGCGAAGGCAGAUUGCUGGACAAUAACUGACGCUGAGGCGCGAAAGCGUGGGUAGCGAACAGGAUUAGAUACCCGUGUAGUC
rnacentral:rRNA from 1 species